rnacentral:rRNA from 1 species
AGUGAACGCUGGCGGUAGGCCUAACACAUGCAAGUCGAACGGCAGCACAGGAGAGCUUGCUCUCUGGGUGGCGAGUGGCGGACGGGUGAGGAAUACAUCGGAAUCUACUUUUUCGUGGGGGAUAACGUAGGGAAACUUACGCUAAUACCGCAUACGACCUACGGGUGAAAGCAGGGGAUCUUCGGACCUUGCGCGAUUGAAUGAGCCGAUGUCGGAUUAGCUAGUUGGCGGGGUAAAGGCCUACCAAGGCGACGAUCCGUAGCUGGUCUGAGAGGAUGAUCAGCCACACUGGAACUGAGACACGGUCCAGACUCCUACGGGAGGCAGCAGUGGGGAAUAUUGGACAAUGGGCGCAAGCCUGAUCCAGCCAUACCGCGCGGGUGAAGAAGGCCUUCGGGUUGUAAAGCCCUUUUGUUGGGAAAGAAAUCCAGCUGGUUAAUACCCGGUUGGGAUGACGGUACCCAAAGAAUAAGCACCGGCUAACUUCGUGCCAGCCGCCGCGGUAA